rnacentral:tRNA from 1 species
AAAUUAAAAACCUUAAUUAAAUUUUAAAUUUAAUUAUCUCUAU